rnacentral:rRNA from 1 species
CAGAGACUGCGAGCGUUAUUCGGAUUCACUGGGCGUAAAGGGUGCGCAGGCGGCCAGGUGUGUGAGGCGUGAAAGCCCGGGGCUUAACCCCGGAAUUGCACCUCAAACUACAUGGCUAGAGCAUUGGAGAGGGUAGCAGAAUUCAUGGUGUAGCAGUGAAAUGCGUAGAUAUCAUGAGGAAUACCAGAGGCGAAGGCGGCUACCUGGACAAUUGCUGACGCUCAGGCACGAAAGCGUGGGGAGCAAAAGGGAUUAGAUACCCCUGUAGUCCACGCCCUAAACGGUGCACACUAGGUCUUGGCGGAUUCGACCCCCCCAGGGCCCAAGCUAACGCGUUAAGUGUGCCGCCUGAGGACUACGGCCGCAAGGCUA